CGUACACUCAGGGAUAGCCUUUCGAAAGAAAGAUUAAUACCUGAUGGUAUGAUGAGAUUGCAUGAUAGCAUCAUUAAAGAUUUAUCGGUGUACGAUGGGGAUGCGUUCCAUUAGGUAGUAGGCGGGGUAACGGCCCACCUAGCCAACGAUGGAUAGGGGUUCUGAGAGGAAGGUCCCCCACAUUGGAACUGAGACACGGUCCAAACUCCUACGGGAGGCAGCAGUGAGGAAUAUUGGUCAAUGGACGAGAGUCUGAACCAGCCAAGUAGCGUGAAGGAUGAAGGUCCUACGGAUUGUAAACUUCUUUUAUAAGGGAAUAAACCCUCCCACGUGUGGGAGCUUGUAUGUACCUUAUGAAUAAGCAUCGGCUAACUCCGUGCCAGCAGCCGCGGUAAUACGGAGGAUGCGAGCGUUAUCCGGAUUUAUUGGGUUUAAAGGGAGCGCAGACGGGUCGUUAAGUCAGCUGUGAAAGUUUGGGGCUCAACCUUAAAAUUGCAGUUGAUACUGGCGUCCUUGAGUGCGGUUGAGGUGUGCGGAAUUCGUGGUGUAGCGGUGAAAUGCUUAGAUAUCACGAAGAACUCCGAUUGCGAAGGCAGCACACUAAUCCGUAACUGACGUUCAUGCUCGAAAGUGUGGGC
rnacentral:rRNA from 1 species